rnacentral:rRNA from 1 species
AACGCUAGCUACAGGCUUAACACAUGCAAUUCGAGGGGAAACGACAUCGAAAGCUUGCUUUUGAUGGGCGUCGACCGGCGCACGGGUGAGUAACGCGUAUCCAACCUGCCCACCACUUGGGGAUAACCUUGCGAAAGUAAGACUAAUACCCAAUGAUAUCUCUAGAAGACAUCUGAAAGAGAUUAAAGAUUUAUCGGUGAUGGAUGGGGAUGCGUCUGAUUAGCUUGUUGGCGGGGUAACGGCCCACCAAGGCUACGAUCAGUAGGGGUUCUGAGAGGAAGGUCCCCCACAUUGGAACUGAGACACGGUCCAAACUCCUACGGGAGGCAGCAGUGAGGAAUAUUGGUCAAUGGACGAGAGUCUGAACCAGCCAAGUAGCGUGCAGGAUGACGGCCCUAUGGGUUGUAAACUGCUUUUAUAAGGGAAUAAAGUGAGUCUCGUGAGACUUUUUGCAUGUACCUUAUGAAUAAGGACCGGCUAAUUCCGUGCCAGCAGCCGCGGUAAUACGGAAGGUCCGGGCGUUAUCCGGAUUUAUUGGGUUUAAAGGGAGCGUAGGCCGGAGAUUAAGCGUGUUGUGAAAUGUAGAUGCUCAACAUCUGCACUGCAGCGCGAACUGGUUUCCUUGAGUACGCACAAAGUGGGCGGAAUUCGUGGUGUAGCGGUGAAAUGCUUAGAUAUCACGAAGAACUCCGAUUGCGAAGGCAGCUCACUGGAGCGCAACUGACGCUGAAGCUCGAAAGUGCGGGUAUCGAACAGGAUUAGAUACCCUGGUAGUCCGCACGGUAAACGAUGGAUGCCCGCUGUUGGUCUGAAUAGGUCAGCGGCC